CAUUUUAUUUUUUUAUUUUCAAAAAAAGGAUAAAUUUAUAUUUAUUUAUAUAUAUAAUUUUUCGUUUCACAUAUAUGAGAGAUCCAUUUUGUAAACCGUUAUGCUCCUGCUCUCAAAUAAAUGCACAUAUUUUUAUUAGGAAUUGCAGGAAAUAGAGGUACAUGUAAAGAUAGAUACCCAAAAAUGUUUAUAAAUUUAAGGGUCUCAUCUUAGAAUUAAGCAUAUGUAAUAUUGUCUUAAUGAUUAAGAUUCCAUUAGUUGCUCCAAAUCUAUUUUUUUAUUGAGUUUUCCUAACGAGAUCAUAUGGGCAAAGUCAUCACGUAAGUAGAUCUUGUUACCGAUUAAAACACUUUUGUAUUUCCUCUUAUUCACGAGAUAUAUCGAAUAUUUCCUCUUAUAUCCACCAAUAUGACGCCGGGAUGGAGCGGUCUCUCCUCUUAUGCGCUUUGCUCAUCUUGUUCUCGUGCCCCACGUAACUAGCUGCGGUGCGCUCGGUCGGACUCCGGGAGAGCUUCGCCGUCAUCUUUGACUCCGGGAGCACCGGGAGCCGGGUCCACGUCAGCAUCGGCGACGACAUUGAGCUCUCGUUCUCCACGGGUGGCCCCACCUCGUGUUCGAGAAGAAGGGAUGGGUCGGUCUUCGACACCGGCGCCGUCCUCAUCCGCGACUCCCGCUGGGGCCCGCUUCGGCCCACAGGACCGCGAGUACGAGCAGUGGGGCCGCCGCCUCAAAAAGGAGUUCGAGGACGAGGUCUUCGUCGAGUCCGAUGACCAGUCCGCCCUCGCCCGCGUCCUAAGCCAAGAGAGAGAUCAGUGGGCCGACGAGAUCUUCCUCGAGGACCCCUUCUAUUUCGAAGGCCGCUGGAUCGAGAUCGUCGGCCGGCUCGACAGUCGGCAACAUGACCAAGAAGUACUUGGCCAUGGAACGGAAGGUGCCGCCGCUCACGAGGCGGCACGCCGUCCCUGGAAACUUCGCAAAGCCCGUCGUCGUUCUCCGCCGUCGCAGGACAACGAUUCCGUGGCACGGAAGGUGGAAAGAGAGGUGGGGUAAGAGCCUUCGAGACGUCCCUUCCGAUCCUCCUUCCCGAUCUGGGAGUCAGCGGUCUCUCUUCCACUUGGAUUUCAAGCAGCACAAGAAUUUCAUGUUCACUUUAUUCUGGUGGACAAGCAUACAGUUGAGGGGUGCACAAAAUAAGAAAGAGCUUUACUCUUUGUUGAUUUUUUCUUUUAUUAUCAAUCAUGAAACGUCAUGGUGUCAUUGAUGAUUCACCGUGUCAUGAACUUUUUUCUGUCAUUAAAAAAGAACAUUAAAUGCUCUUUGCUAAAUACUGUAGUAGUUUCUUGAAUGGAUACAAUAAUUGCUUAGCCAUAUUAUCAAUUUACCCUGCAACUUGAGAGCCUUCUUGGAAGUUUUGAGCAACCUCUUGUGAUGGAUGUCGUCAUUUCUUUUAUCAAAUUGUGUUCUAAGUUAAGUGUUGUCUCCAUCAUAAUCUGUCCACGAUGCCAGAAAGGUAGUUUGUUGAUGCUGAUUACCAGCAUGAAGCAGCUUGUCAGGUGAUGUGGAUGCUAUUUGUCACCUGCUGAAGUUCCACAGUGAAGUUUUAACGAUCUAUAUAUCUUGUAGGCAAUUGACAUACCAAACAAAUUGCUAUAAUCAAUGGGCGAGGCCAACCACAAAAUAAGUAAUGUAAUCUAAAUUCAUCACUUAAUUUGUUCAUGAUUGGUUCAUUCUAUUUGUCUCCUUUAAGGUUCCCACAUCCCCUUCUACUGAUUCUGCGAGCUGCACAGAUAGCAGGGCUCAAACCUAGGAGCUUAAGCAUGUCACUUGCCAUUGAAGCAUGCCACUUCCAUUUGGUUGUGUUUGUCUUUAAAGUUAGCCUGCCAUAUGUAUUAUUUGAGCUAUCAAACACACUAAUGCUCGAGUCUGUUAUUUUUCAGUUAAUCUUCUGUUCAUCAACCAUUGUUGAAUCUGAAUAUAUCAUGAUAUUGUUAUCUAAUCAUUGGCUGAUUGGCUUAAUGUGAA